GUUGGGAAUUUGACUGCGUUUUCCAUUUUAGGGCUAAACUGUCAGCGAUGACAUGUCCAGGUUUAUGAAAAUAAAAACAUUCACGAUUCUCCUUUGAAACAGAUGUAUUAGCCAUGUGGAGCUGUUGCACAGAGCUAACACGUGCUUCUCAUUGACAUGGAAUGAUGACUUAUGGGUGAGCACAUACUCAUCAGCAAGAACAGCAGCAAAUGCAAGACUGGACACUUUCUGUUCAUUUAAAUACAAAACUACACGUUCAGGAAUGCACUUUCUAAAGUCUUCCAGCAACACUAACUCUCGCAGGGAGUCAUAAUUACUGGCUUUCAAUGCAAGACACCAUUUAUCAAAGAGGAUCCCCUUCUCUCUGGCAAACUCCACAUAAGUUUGGAAGUUUCCUCUGCUGUCAAAACUUCUGCCUAUUCCCAAUUUCCCAACUUGUGAAAGCAGAGUCCCGCAGUGAGGUUGUGGUGGUAAGGUGCCAGACCCUUGUUUUGAACCUUUCAGUUUUGAUGGUUUAGUAUCACUGACAGCUAACUCCUCAGAUCUAAAACCAGUACGUAUUUUGAGGGACACUGGAGGUUCCCAGACUGUCAUCCUCUCUAGGAUCCUACCUUUCUCAGCUCAAAGUACCUGUGGUUUUAACUCUGUUCUGCGUGGAAUAGAGAUGGGCUACACUCCCAGGACAGUUUACUGGGUUUUCAUAAAAUCAGAACUCGUUACGGGAUUUUCCCCUGUUGCUGUUUGCCCAGCCUUACCAAUAGAUGGUGUGGCCAUGCUAAUGGGAAUGAUAUCACUGGAGGCUUGGUGCUUCCUAGUCUGGAGGUUUUAGACAAUCCCCUGAAUCAGAGGACCCCACACUUUGCUGUGAACCCUGGGCUGUAUCCAGCCUGUGCGGUUACCCAUGCACAAGCACAUAAAGAUGCUGACAUUACACUCUCUGAUUUGGUGUUGAUGUCCUCAUUUUCUGCGGAGAGUAAUGUGCAAACUGAAGGUAAAAAAUGUUCCGUUACCCCCAGAUUCGGUGGACCCAGAGGAGUCUGAUCCAUCCUUAAAGGACGCAUCACUUCCCUUUACCAGAGAACACUUGUUGUCAGCUCAACUAGCUGAUGAAACAUUACGGAAUUGUUUCAAGCGUGUGCCUGGAAAGGACACAGAAAAGACAGGGAACCACCACAGUUCUUAAAGAGGAGCAGAUAUGCAGGGCCUGGAACAGUUAUGAAAGCUAGUUAUGAAAAUGCUCUCUCUCUCUCUCUCUCUCUCCCUCUCUCUACACACACACACACACACACA